rnacentral:rRNA from 1 species
AACGAACGCUGGCGGCAUGCCUAACACAUGCAAGUCGAACGAGACCUUCGGGUCUAGUGGCGCACGGGCGCGUAACGCGUGGGAACCUGCCCUUAGGUUCGGAAUAACUCCCCGAAAGGGGUGCUAAUACCGGAUAAUGUCUUCGGACCAAAGAUUUAUCGCCUUUGGAUGGGCCCGCGUUUGAUUAGCUAGUUGGUAGGGUAAAAGCCUAUCAAGGCGACGAUCCAUAGCUGGUCUGAGAGGAUGAUCAGCCACACUGGGACUGAGACACGGCCCAGACUCCUACGGGAGGCAGCAGUGGGGAAUAUUGGACAAUGGGCGAAAGCCUGAUCCAGCAAUGCCGCGUGAGUGAUGAAGGCCUUAGGGUUGUAAAGCUCUUUUACCCGGGAUGAUAAUGACAGUACCGGGAGAAUAAGCUCCGGCUAACUCCGUG